GAUGAACGCUGGCGGCGUGCCUAAUACAUGCAAGUCGAGCGAACAGACGAGGAGCUUGCUCCUCUGACGUUAGCGGCGGACGGGUGAGUAACACGUGGAUAACCUACCUAUAAGACUGGGAUAACUUCGGGAAACCGGAGCUAAUACCGGAUAAUAUAUUGAACCGCAUGGUUCAAUAGUGAAAGACGGUUUUGCUGUCACUUAUAGAUGGAUCCGCGCCGCAUUAGCUAGUUGGUAAGGUAACGGCUUACCAAGGCAACGAUGCGUAGCCGACCUGAGAGGGUGAUCGGCCACGCUGGAACUGAGACACAGUCCAGACUCCUACGGGAGGCAGCAGUAGGGAAUCUUCCGCAAUGGGCGAAAGCCUGACGGAGCAACGCCGCGUGAGUGAUGAAGGUCUUCGGAUCGUAAAACUCUGUUAUUAGGGAAGAACAAAUGUGUAAGUAACUAUGCACGUCUUGACGGUACCUAAUCAGAAAGCCACGGCUAACUACGUG
rnacentral:rRNA from 1 species